rnacentral:rRNA from 1 species
GGAAUAUUGGACAAUGGGCGAAAGCCUGAUCCAGCCAUGCCGCGUGUGUGAAGAAGGUCUUCGGAUUGUAAAGCACUUUAAGUGGGGAGGAAGGGUAGUAACCUAAUACUUUGCUAUUUUGACGUUACCGAAAGAAUAAGAGCCGGCUAACUUCGUGCCAGAAGCCGCGGUAAUACGAAGGGUGCAAGCGUUAAUCGGAAUUACGGGGCGUAAAGCGCGCGUAGGUGGUUCAGUAAGUUGGAUGUGAAAUCCCCGGGCUCAACCUGGGAACUGCAUCCAAAACUGCUGAACUAGAGUACGGUAGAGGGUGGUGGAAUUUCCUGUGUAGCGGUGAAAUGCGUAGAUAUAGGAAGGAACACCAGUGGCGAAGGCGACCACCUGGACUGAUACUGACACUGAGGUGCGAAAGCGUGGGGAGCAAAC